UAAAUUAUUUUCUUAUUUUGACAAUAUUCUGUAUCUCUUAUCCGUCCGUAAAAGUCCGUUAAUAAAAUUACUAUCAAAAUUGAUAAUCUGAAACUCGUCAGUUUUUAAAUAUAAUUUUAUUCAGAGUUUGCGGUGUAAACGUAACCAGUGGGUUUUAACUUCAGUUCAAUGAUUAAAGAUGUCGCUUGCGAGGGGUGGGAUCUGGGAUCAGCCAAUGAGAGAUUGCUAUGUGACGGAGAAUUUGACAAGCGCAGUAAGCGGCGCGGCAGUGUUCAUUUAUCCACAGAGGUGAGAGCAAAGCCGCCUGAAAAUCGAAGUGAGCCGGACAGAACUUAAUAUCCUGUGUUUUCCAAGUUUUAAAAGGGCUAGAAUACCUUUUUUCUUUGAUGUGGUCGCAGAAUCUUGUGGUUUUUAGUGUGUUUCGUUUAUUAUCCUUUUCGUAACGGUUAAAUGAAUAAUUUUACGCGUGGAGAAAGUGUAAAUAAAUCGGAUCGGCCAAAAACAAUACGGCGAGACAAACCAUUUGGUGACACUUCACAAGGAUCUUACCGGAAAACGUGGCAACCUUGUACAAUUCAACCGCGUGAGGAUUAAUUUUGAGGUUAACUGUUGGGCCUUAGCAGCAACAUUGCCACAUAAAUGGUGUUGAGUGAAAAAUAAGGUUCAUUGGGCUGAAACGCGGGACGCAAAAUUUUUUGGCUCGACAUGCCGGCGUCAACUUUCGAUCCCGUUGAUUCGGCUUUGAGAACAUCUCUCAUCAGAAACGGCAACGAUCAUGGAAAUUUAGACUCUCAGUUAGCUGGAAGCACGAGAAAAGCGCUACUUUCCGAUAUAGAUUUUGAAAGUGCUGGUAGUUAUCAGUGUUCGGUGUGGGACGUUAUAAAACCAAAACACAUUGUUCUGAAAAGUGGCGAAAAACAACAAAAUAGUACAAAACAAGAACAAGAUAACCAUGGAGAUGAUACUCUUAAACUGGCCAAGCACGAAUUAUUUCCUAUGGAAAAAGUCCAACUUGGAUGGUCGACUAGUGGGGAUUGGUCAGUGGGGGCCGGUAUGGUCAAUAUGGGCAAUACUUGUUACUUGAAUUCAACGUUACAAGCUCUCUUUCAUGUUCCUUCAUUAGUAAAUUGGUUAAUGUCUGAUAAGGAACAUAUACAAGAAUGUCAUGAUACAGGUGUAUGUAUAAUAUGUGCAAUGAGAAAAACUUUACAAGAGUCGCAGCAACGAAACGUGAAUUCUAUCAGACCCGUUUUAAUUUAUAACAAGUUACGGUUUGUUUGUCGGAACCUUAUACCAGGCAGGCAAGAGGAUGCGCAUGAAUUUUUAAGAUACUUAAUUGAAGCAAUGGAAAAAUCGUAUUUGCAAAGAUUCAAGGACCAUAAUAAAUUUGAUUCUAAAAUUAAGGAAACUACACCUUUAAAUCAAAUAUUAGGCGGUUAUUUGCGAUCAGCUGUCAGAUGUUUGAGAUGUGGACACGUCAGUACCACUUUCCAACAUUUCCAGGACCUUUUGCUGGACAUUCGUAAGGCACAAACUGUCGGUGAAGCUUUGGAGUUAUAUUUUAGCAGAGAAAAACUCGAUGAUGACAGUUAUCAUUGUGAAGCCUGUCAGAAAAAGGUACCAGCAAAUAAGCAGUUUUCUAUUGAGCGAGCACCAAAAGUUUUAUGCAUUCAGCUGAAGAGGUUUUCUGUUAGUAAUAACAAGAUAACAAAACAUGUGGCCUUCAAGCAUAGAUUAAAUUUAACUCAUUACGUUAGACCAAGACCGAACACACCUCUAAUUUACCGCCUAGUCGCCCUGGUGACGCACAUGGGCCCCACGGUGAGCUGCGGCCACUACACGGCCGUGGCCCAAGCCCCGUCCGGCAACUUCUACCAGUUCGACGACAGCAUGGUCCGGUCCAUAUCGCACCAGACCGUGUUCAACACCAACGCCUACAUCAUGCUGUACGAGUUGGAGUCGCAGCCCCAAGCGCAGAAAUCCGUCCCCGUAGCGCCGAAGACCAAAGUGAGCAGUACGAUCACGGAGGCCGGGUCUACGUCGUCGGCCAAUAGUUCGGCCGCGUCGUCGGCAUCGGCAAAGAGUCCGUCGCCUAUUCCGUUGGGUUAUACGAACGGGAAGGCGAAGGUGCAGAGUCCGAACCCGAAGUCGUUCGGUUUUACGAGCGACAAGAUGUACGGGCCUGAGUUGCCGCCGGAGAGAACAAUUGGUUCAACCGUAACCAACGGUAAACAAAAGGCUGUGAGCAGCUCGCGAUCGACCGACGAGUCGAGCAGCGAGUCCAGCGAGGAGGAAGACACGUCCAAACGGGCUCCGGCGCCCCCCUCUCAUUCCUUCUCCCUCAAAGAGGCGGACAGCUCGACCCUCAACGAAGAACCGCUCGAUAGGGUUGCGUCUCCAAGAGUCUCGCCCAGCAGCUCCAAUCUCUCCACGAGCGUAUCGAGCUUGAGCAGCCCCGAAGUAGCUAGUGCUGCGCCUAGUCCUAAGAAAACUACCGUUACCUCUCCUUCGAAGAGUCUUGUUCCUUAUGAAACGGGGGAUACUAGCGGCAGCGAGGAUUCCAACCAUUCAGAAUCGAAUAAGGUGACGACCAAAACGACGGCCGGCGAAUGGCAAGUGACGUCAUCGACGGACGUGACGUCGCAGAGAGAGAAAGAAUGGUGCGAGCAGAAGAACAACAAAAAUAUGGAGAUCUCGAACGGAAGCGUGGUCAGCGAGCUGUUCAAGAUGUCUACUGGCGGUUACUCGGUUCCGAUAACCACGUGGGAAGGCACAAGGUCGCAGUUAGAUAAAGAGGUAAACCAAGAGAAACGCGAAGAAAGAAAGCGUUCCUAUGUGGAUAGCACCGACCAAGGAAGGGUAAAGCACCAGAAAGUUAGUUCAAGUUAUAGCAACGGAAAAUCAAAUCCAGGCUACAACCCUGUACAGGAAUACCAUAACAUGAAGAACUGGUCAAAUGGCAACGGACUGUCAUCGGGCAUGAAUUUUCACCACAAGCCUUUCUACAACGGAGCCCGUCACAAGAAGAACUUCCACCACAAAAACAGUUUCCACAAGAACAACUAUCGUUUCCGGUAAUGCCCGCACAACCGAAAAUUGUUAUUUUCCAUUUUCUAGUGGCAAUAUCCGGGUAAACCUUUCUUUCCUUUUGCGUAUUUUUAUUUCCACAACACCUAGUUAGAUAGUGAAAAAAAAUUAAACAAUUUAGUAUUGUUUACGUGCACUGAUGUUAACUGUAAAAAACUGAUGUUUGUUCAGUGAACAGUAAAUAAUCUAAUGAAAUAAUGAUAAAUGAAGGAAAAGAAUAUAAUGGUGCCUCCGGUAUGGAAAAUUGCAUAUACAGUGAUCAAAAAAAUCUUAAAAGAAUGGCUAUUGUUACGCCUAUUGUGUAUAAUAUUGUAUAUAUAUAUAGCCCCAUGUAGAAAAGCUAUUAUGUGACAUGUGAAAACAAAAAUACGAGCUAAGUAGAAAAAAUUGUAGCAACAUUGUCCGAUUGUCUAUAAAUCUAAUUCGGUACAUACCAGUUUCAUAUCUUAAAAAAAGUGACAAAUGAACUUUAUACAAAAAAAAUCAUAUACAGGGGCGUUUACUUUUCAGUUAAAUUCUACUAAUAUAAAGUGGACCACUCUGUAUAUGUGAUGUAGUCAAGUUUUGGAAUGUUGUCAUAUUAACAAAAUUAACGUAAAUAAGAAUUACAGCGAACUUUGUCAAACUGUCAACCUUCAAAACACCCUUCUUUAUAAAGACUUUUUGGACAUACUGUAUCAAACCUAUUUUAUGUUAUAAGGACACCUUUAUUUUUGUUUUGAUUAUAUUAAUGAUAUAAUUAUAUCUUAAUAUUUUCAUUUGUUGUUUUUAAUUAUUUUGACAUACAUUUUUAAACAUAUUCUGUACAUAGAUUACAGGGUUGUAUGAAACUGGUAUGUCUAAUUAUAUUUACCAUAUGAUCAAGUAUAAAACAGGACCAGAGUAGGCUUGGGAAUGGAAAUCGCUGUCAUUAUAUUAAAAUAAUAUGUGGUACGGUAUAUUCCUGUAACGUUCUUGAACCAAGAACGAGUACUAUAGAUAACAUAGACCUCAAGGAUUAUUUCUGACGUGGAUAUAAUCCUGUGCUCAAAGAAACUGCUAAAUGUAAAAUAGGCAUUUACACCUACAGAUGAGUUCGAGUUCAUUUUUAAUAUGUAAUGGUAUAAUGCCAUUUUUAUUUACGAAUAUGUGCUUUCGACUUCAUGUACAGUUUAUAAACUUGUGUCUAUCACUUAAAAUAAAUGUUUUUUUAAGGAGA
rnacentral:misc_RNA from 1 species